GUUCAGUAGUAUGGUAUUCAGGCUAAUCAUGCUUUCCCCAGAACUGUGCAUAGCAUUUGUGGCAAAGAGCUUGUUGGAAAGGAUUCAAGCUGCAGACCAUCUCAAGCCAAACUCCAACUGUAUUUUUAAUGAAUCAGUUGAAGCAACUCGAUGGAAAGGACGGGUCUUGCUCCAUCAUCCAGGCUGGAGUGAAGUGGCGCAAUCAUAGCUCUCUGCAUCGUUGACCUCCUGGGCCUAAGUGAUCCUACCACCUUGAUCUCCUUGCCUUAAGUGAUCCUACCACCUUAACCUUCUGAGUAGCUGGGACUACAGGCAUGUGCUGCUACACCCAGCUAAUUUUUUUUUUAACUUUCCCCUGAGUCACUGGAAUUAUAGGCGUGCACCACCGUGCCCGGCAGUCAGUGAGUACUUACUGAGUACUGACCACAGGCCUUUCCCUCAUGGAACAUUCAUGACUGAGGACACACACAACCCUUAAAUGGACACCUGAAAAUGACAUAAGGUCCACCAAAAAAUGGAAGGGCUGCUCUAUUAAACUACUUAAAAA
rnacentral:lncRNA from 1 species